rnacentral:misc_RNA from 1 species
CGGUGUAUUGGCCUUCUUCGUUUCUUACGACCUGGCGCGGCGCGAAGCAGCCGACUUUCUCGACGGUCAGUUACGUCAGAUCGCGCUCAACGCAGGCAUCGGCCUCGCCAAUGCCGAAGCGCCUGGCGCGAAGCACGAUCCGGAGGAUGAAUUCGUCAUCGCGAUCUGGAAUCCAGCUGGCGAAGCGAUGCGAAAUUCGCCGAGCGGC